rnacentral:misc_RNA from 1 species
GGAAGGAUCAUUAACACGUAUCCACGUAUCCACCCCACGUGCAUUCGUUCUUCCCUUCUCCCUCCGUUCUCACAUGCAUGGGCUAUCGGCACACACGCUGAGUGGCGCGCGUCGUCUGACGCGUGCGUCGUGUGCGCUUACUGGCGCGGGCUUCGGCUCGCGACGACCAUGGGAGUGAGUGGAGGCUACAGUUCGGCGCCGCUGACUCUUGCUCGGGUCAUGCGCUGGGCGACUAUCAUUUAACACCACAAUCACAAUAUUUUGCUAGUUGACUUUUUUUACAUGUAGAGCCUGCCUCGUGCGCCUCUUCACGUUUCUUAAUUGAACGAAAAAUUACAACUCUUAGCAAUGGAUAUCUAGGUUCUCGCAACGAUGAAGAACGCAGCGAAAUGCGAUACGUAAUGCGAAUUGCAGAAUUCAGUGAAUCAUCAAAUCUUUGAACGCAAAUUGCGCUCUUGGGUAGCCCUAGGAGCACGCCUCUCUCAGUAUCGGUUCAACACCCGCUCAGCAGCGUCUGCGACUCGUUUGGGUCGCUGGCGUGGUGGCUGGAGAAGGAGAGUCGACGCGUGCGCGUCGUCUCUUGACAUGCAUCGAGUGGCACGCUAGCGCGGAGACGCGAGCCGCCACAUGCAGCCUGGGCUUCAGCCCGAGUGACGUGAAUACUGACCCCUCGGGGCCAACUUCUUUUACGUGUGUCUCGAGCUGGCCUAUAUCAGGCCGUGUGUGGCGAUGGCUCUGUCCCGCCGUGCCCACGGAGGUACACCAUACGAACGCCGGCGCCUGUCGCCGACCUUCUGAAUUUUGAUCUGAGAUGAAGCGAGACAACCCCCUGAAUUUAAGCAUAUUAAUAAGGGGAGGAAAAGAAACUAACACGCCUUGUUGGUUUCGAUAAUGAAUCAUUAGUCAACAUGGGUUGACUAUACUAACCACAUGCGGGGAGUUGAAGCAGAUCCUGUUAGUACUUAGCUCGUAGUAAUGCGAGUGGCCAUUGAGAGAUACAAUGGGUAGAGUUAUAGUUUAAUAGGACGGAUACGACCCGCAGCUGCAGGCUAUUCGCCUUCAGUUCACAGACUAGAUGUUAGUACAGUGUCGCACUGACUCAGAGCGAUACUGUGAGAUAUAGUCGGCCGUUGCCAGUAGUGACCCUACUGGCAGCACACCGCGAACAAGGAUUCCCCCAGUAACGGCGAGUGAAGCGGGAAGAGCUCAAUGUGAAAAUCGAUUACCUAAGCGGGUCAUCGAGUUGUAGCCUAGAGACGUACUAUCAGCUGAAACCUGGGUAUAAGUUCUUUGGAAUGAGGCAUCAUAGAGGGUGAGAAUCCCGUAUAUGACCCAAAGCUUUCAGCGUACGAUGUAUGUUCAUCGAGUCGAGUUGUUUGGGAUUGCAGCUCUAAAUGGGUGGUAAGUUUCAUCUAAAGCUAAAUAAUGGCGAGAGACCGAUAGCGAACAAGUACCGUGAGGGAAAGAUGAAAAGAACUUUGAAAAGAGAGUUAAAAGUACUUGAAAUUGCUAAGAGGGAAGCGCUGAAAACGAGUGAUGCUGCGUGUCCAUCGCCUCCGGCCCCACUAGUGCGUGUGUGACGUGGGUAACCCGUCAUGCGCGAACGAAAGGGAGGGCGGAGGUUCAGGAUACGUGGCGAGUCAAGAUUCAUUCGGACGGUGGAAGAAGGGGGCGAGAAAGGUAGGAUGGCAACAUCUGUUAUAGUCUCGUCUCACGACCUCGGUCUGGAUGGAGGAAGAAAUGGUGCGCCGCUUGCGGCUUGGUCCGGCGUCUCUGCUAGCGCAGCUGCUCUGAGUGCAAUGCUCUCUCUGUGGCGCCCGCUGGCUACUGGGCGUCGUGCUCCUAUGUGCCAUCGCGAUCUUGUACGAUAUCGUUUUCAUCGACCCGUCUUGAAACACGGACCAAGGAGUCUAACAUCUAUGCAAGUGUUUGGGUGCCAAACCCGUAACGCGUAAUGAAAGUAAAGGCAGCUCGUCUGCUCAGGUAGGAAUCUCUCAAGAGAGGCACUAUCGACCGAUCAUCACUUGUGAAAGAUUUGAGUAAGAGCAUAUCUGUUGGGACCCGAAAGAUGGUGAUCUAUGCCUGAACAGGGUGAAGCCAGGGGAAACUCUGGUGGAGGCUCGUAGCGAUACUGACGUGCAAAUCGUUCGUCUGAUUUGGGUAUAGGGGCGAAAGACUAAUCGAACCAUCUAGUAGCUGGUUCCCUC